AAGAUUUUAGUUUAAUAAAACAUUUGAUUUGCAUUCAAAAAUUAUUGUUUACAAUUUAUCUUA
rnacentral:tRNA from 1 species